rnacentral:rRNA from 1 species
GGGGAUAACAGUUAGAAAUGACUGCUAAUACCGCAUAAGCGCACGGAGCCGCAUGGCUCAGUGUGAAAAACUGAGGUGGUAUAGGAUGGACCCGCGUCUGAUUAGCUAGUUGGUGAGGUAACGGCUCACCAAGGCGACGAUCAGUAGCCGGCCUGAGAGGGCGACCGGCCACAUUGGGACUGAGACACGGCCCAAACUCCUACGGGAGGCAGCAGUGGGGAAUAUUGCACAAUGGGGGAAACCCUGAUGCAGCGACGCCGCGUGAGUGACGAAGUAUUUCGGUAUGUAAAGCCCUAUCAGCAGGGAAGAAAAUGACGGUACCUGACUAAGAAGCCCCGGCCAACUACGUGCCAGCAGCCGCGGUAAUACGUAGGGGGCAAGCGUUAUCCGGAUUUACUGGGUGUAAAGGGAGCGUAGGUGGCAUGGUAAGCCAGAAGUGAAAACCCAGGGCUCAACUCUGGGAUUGCUUUUGGAACUAUCAGGCUGGAGUGCUGGAGGGGUAAGCGGAAUUCCUAGUGUAGCGGUGAAAUGCGUAGAUAUUAGGAGGAACACCGGUGGCGAAGGCGGCUUACUGGACAGAAACUGACACUGAGGCUCGAAAGCGUGGGGAGCAAACAGGAUUAGAUACCCUGGUAGUCCACGCCGUAAACGAUGAA